AGGUUUUUGGGUAAGGCCAAGUACUUCCUGCGGAUCCUCUGACUCUGACAGGAAUAUUCAAAGAGAGGAGCUCUUGUUAACCCCAUUAUUGGCUUGAGAAAGCUCUCCCGCUCAGUGAGUGACUUCAUUACCAAAUUGAUGGUAUUGACCACUCCAGCUAUGCAAAUCACAAGGCCACAGCCAGCUGAGCAAAAGCAGAUAAAAAGAUUACAUUAAAAAUUAAAGCCAUGCAUAGAAA